rnacentral:lncRNA from 1 species
GCAACGUCUUCACCUGCUUGGUGGGCCACGAGAGGUUGCCCUUGCAAGUGGCCCAAAAAUCGGUGGACAAGUCCUCGGGUAAACCCACCUCGGUCAACGUCUCCCUGGUGCUCUCCGACACCGCCAGCUCCUGCUAUUAAAAAAAAAAAAAUCAUUUUUCCCCCCCACCAUCCUCCUCCUCCUUCCGUCGGUUUUAUCUCAACGUGUUCAAAAACCCCCCCAAAAAAUAGCCAUUUCGGUGCAAAAUGUGUUCAACUCCUCCUCUCCUCCCCCAAAAAAUAAUAUUUUUGCAAUGCAGAACAUCUCCCUAUAAUCCAUUAAUUAUAAUCCCGCCCCCUAUAAUCCAUUUUUUUAUUUUUUCAACAUUGGGAUGUGUUGAGAUCCCCCCCCCCAGAUUUCAUUCUGCAGUGUGAAAUGCGUUAAAACAUCCCCAAAAACGUGUUUCUGCAAUGCAAAAUGUGUUAAAUUCCCCCAAAAAGCUGUUUUUUGCCAUGCAAAAUUUCAUAAAGCCCCCUAAAAAUGUGCUUUUGUGAUGGGAAAAGUGGUAAAAUACCCACCAAAACGUCUUUUUGUGAUGUUAAACAUUUUUAAAUCCCCUCCAAGUUGGUUUUUGCAGUGGGAAAAGUGUCCAAAUUCCACCCAAAUGUGAUUCUGCAGGGCAAAAUGUGCCAAAAAUCCCCUCAAAAAAAAAAAAAAAAAUAUGCAAUGUCAAAAAAAACCUGUUUCUGCAAUGCAAAAUGUAUAAAAGUCCCCCAAAAAAUGUUUCUGCAGUGCAAAAAAAAUAUAUGAAUUGUUUCUUCGAUGCAAAAUGUACCCCAAAUCCCCCCCAAAAAACUCUGUUUCUGCAUCCCAAAACUUGUCAACCUCCCCCCUUCGGGAUUUGUAUCCGCGGUGCAAAACCUGUGACCCCCCCUCCCCUCUCCCCGAGGGAGAACCGACGGAAAUAAAGCAAAACGAUGGAUUUUUGUUGGAAAACUGACCAAAAGCUCAUUUUUUGUCCGGGCUGGGCGGGGUGGGGGGCGCGCGGCGGUGCAGGCGGCGGCUGCGUGCAUCUUGGUCUUUGUAAAUCCUUCGUUUCGUCCUUUUUGGAUCAUGUUUUUUUGGAAAUCUUUGCAUUUUGGUCAUUUCAAAUCCUUGACUCUUGGUCUUUGCAUCUUGGUCUUUGUAAAUCCUUCGUUUCGUCCUCUUUGGAUCAUGUUUUUUGGAAAUCUUUGUGUCGUGGUUUUUGCAUCUUGGUCUUUGCAAAUUUUUCCUUCGUCCUCUUUGUAUCUUGGUCUUUGCAUCUUGGUCUUGGCAUUGUGCUCGUUCCAAAUUCUUCGCAUUUCUUGCACAUUUCUUUGCAAACCCUUUGCUUUUUGCUUUUUGCAAAUCCCUUUUUUUUUUUAUUUUUCAUGCUCUUUUUGCAUCGUGCUCUUUGCAGACCCUUUGCUUCUCUUGCCUCGUGCUCCUCAUCCCUUUGUGUCCUCCUCAUCCUCGUG